AUCGGUAGGGGAGCGUUCUACAUUAGGUUGAAGCGUUAGCGAAAGCGGGCGUGGACAAAGUAGAAGUGAGAAUGUUAGCUUGAGUAGCGAAAACAUUGGUGAGAAUCCAAUGCCCCGAAAACCCAAGGGUUCCUCCGGAAGGCUCGUCCACGGAGGGUGAGUCAGGUCCUAAGGUGAGGCUAAUAGCGUAAUCGAUGGAUAACAGGUUAAUAUUCCUGUA
rnacentral:rRNA from 1 species